UACAGAGGUCUCAAGCGUUGUUCGGAUUCAUUGGGCGUAAAGGGUGCGUAGGCGGCGCGGUAAGUCGGGUGUGAAAUCUUGGAGCUUAACUCCGAAACUGCAUUCGAUACUGCCGUGCUUGAGGACUGGAGAGGAGACUGGAAUUUACGGUGUAGCGGUGAAAUGCGUAGAUAUCGGAAGGAACACCAGUGGCGAAGGCGCUUUCUGGGCUCAUACUGACGC
rnacentral:rRNA from 1 species